rnacentral:rRNA from 1 species
AUUGAACGCUGGCGGCAUGCCUUACACAUGCAAGUCGAACGGCAGCGGGGACUUCGGUCCGCCGGCGAGUGGCGAACGGGUGAGUAAUGUAUCGGAACGUACCUUUCAGUGGGGGAUAACGUAGCGAAAGUUACGCUAAUACCGCAUAUUCUGUGAGCAGGAAAGCAGGGGAUCGCAAGACCUUGCGCUGAUUGAGCGGCCGAUAUCAGAUUAGCUAGUUGGUGAGGUAAAGGCUCACCAAGGCUACGAUCUGUAGCGGGUCUGAGAGGAUGAUCCGCCACCCUGGGACUGAGACACGGCCCAGACUCCUACGGGAGGCAGCAGUGGGGAAUUUUGGACAAUGGGCGAAAGCCUGAUCCAGCCAUGCCGCGUGAGUGAAGAAGGCCUUCGGGUUGUAAAGCUCUUUCGGCCGGGAAGAAAUCGCAUCAGCUAAUACCUGGUGUGGAUGACGGUACCGGAAUAAGAAGCACCGGCUAACUACGUGCCAGCAGCCGCCGUAA